AGCGAACGCUGGCGGCAGGCUUAACACAUGCAAGUCGAACGGUCGUAGCAAUACGGCAGUGGCAGACGGGUGAGUAACACGUGGGAAUGUACCUUUCGGUUCGGAAUAACGUAGGGAACUUGCGCUAAUACCGGAUAAGCCCUUACGGGGAAGAUUUAUCGCCAUUGGAGUAGCCCGCGUCUGAUUAGCUAGUUGGUGAGGUAAAAGACCCACCAAGGCAACGAUCAGUAGCUGGUGUAGAGAACGACCAGCCACACUGGGACUGAGACAC
rnacentral:rRNA from 1 species